AGUGAACGCUGGCGGUAGGCCUAACACAUGCAAGUCGAACGGCAGCACAGUAAGAGCUUGCUCUUACGGGUGGCGAGUGGCGGACGGGUGAGGAAUACAUCGGAACCUACUUUUUCGUGGGGGAUAACGUAGGGAAACUUACGCUAAUACCGCAUACGACCUACGGGUGAAAGCAGGGGAUCUUCGGACCUUGCGCGAUUGAAUGAGCCGAUGUCGGAUUAGCUAGUUGGCGGGGUAAAGGCCCACCAAGGCGACGAUCCGUAGCUGGUCUGAGAGGAUGAUCAGCCACACUGGAACUGAGACACGGUCCAGACUCCUACGGGAGGCAGCAGUGGGGAAUAUUGGACAAUGUGCGCAAGCCUGACCCAGCCAUACCGCGUGGGUGAAGAAGGCCUUCGGGUUGUAAAGCCCUUUUGUUGGGAAAGAAAAGCAGCAGGUUAAUACCCCGCUGUUCUGACGGUACCCAAAGAAUAAGCACCGGCUAACUUCGUG
rnacentral:rRNA from 1 species